rnacentral:lncRNA from 1 species
GUGCGGCGGGCCCUGAAGGCCUGCUGCUCUGAGCCUGCUGCCACGUCGGGGUGAUUUAUAUGGGAGCUCCUCGGAGCCUAGGCCCUGCCUCUGCCCCAGCCGGAUGCAGCAACCGGCUGCCGUUGCAGCAGGAGGGAGAAAACCUGGGGACUUGGCCUCGUUCCAGAAGGAGCCACGGCGUGCCCUCGCCUGACCUGGGCACAGCUCUGGGUGCUUUUCAGCAGAACUGAUUGAUAGGGCCCUCCUGAGGGCCCAACCAGGGGGAGCCAACGGCUGUGUGUGGCGGACUUGGCAGGCAGAGGCAGCCUGCGGGCAGCCACAGCGGACAGCACAGCGGCCCCCACCUGGGAGGUGGCUCCCAGGACAGAAUGCCUCACUGGCCCGGGGCUGCAGGAAGCCUGGGGGGCGGCCGUUCUGCCAGGCCAAGUCCCAAGUGCAAGCUUCACUGACAGCACUGUUUGGGGGACUGACGGCACCGUUUGGGGUAUGGACGGCACCGUCUGGGCAACGGACGGCACCAUCUGGGGUGCAGACGGCACCAUCUGGGGGACGGACGGCACUGUCUGGGGGGCAGACGGCACUGUUUGGGGGUGGGGGAUGGGUGCAGGGGCCAAGUGAUGCUGAGGAGCAAAUAAUGAAAAGACCCAUGUGUUUGGUUAUAUUUCAAUAUGACAUUUUUAAAACAAUACACAAAAGGUAUAUCCCAGUGUUUUGGGGGGCCAAGGUAGGAGGAUCUGUUGAGGCCAGGAGUUCAAGACCAGCCUGGACAACAUAGUAAGACGCCCC